ACUUCUCAAGAAGUUAACAUCCCAGAUAGGCUUGAGCUCCCUGCAGUACAGCUCCCUCAAAGCCCAACCGACAGCACCCUGCGUUACGAAUAAGCACAUCCAGUUUGCAGUGACAAGCAUAAGAUCCCAGACACCAAGAGGGAAAAACAAUGAACCAGCCUCAGAAGGCAUGCGAGCUAGACGGUGGGGGAAAUCGUCCAAGAAGUCCAACUCGCAUGUGUAUGCCAGGAGUUUGAAGCAUUAAAACAAGGCCGACGAAAGAGGAAACAGGGAGCAGAAGGGCCAGAAGUCAGGCACAUGGAGUCGUGGAACUGGAGGUUGGAGUCUGAAUGCCUGGAUGGCAGUGUCAGAAGCAAGCUAAAGUGCUGUUGUAGAAGAAUGAGGACAGAGUUAUCAAAAACCUGAUGCCGAGAAAACCUCAAGUUCCCGUAGCUAUGGGAAGUCCUGGACUUUGUGAAUAGAGAUGAAAAGAGAUGAAUUUUAAGAUGUUCUGCAAUUACUAUUUCUUUCCGAAGAAAAAAGAAGGCUUUCUGGAAUCCAGCUCUCUUGCUCUUAAAUUUCUGCUAGAACCCAAGUUUACAACAUUAGUGUAUAACACACUUGUCCACUCUAGCUUUGAUUGACUGCUAAAGGGAAAAGGAUGAAUAAUUUACCGUUGGAAGGUGGGUCUCAGUGAUAAAUCAGGAGCACUUCUGCUUUUAACAUCUGAAUGUAUUCUCUUUUCCUGGAUGACAGCUGCAUUUUAAAAAGCAAAGUACCUCACGCUUUCCUCUGAGCUUCUAACACAGAAAAUAUAAAAUGAAUCACUUUCACCUUGUUAACCCAGCCUUGUAGAAAACCCAUCAUUACUGCAUUCUUCAGCAUAAAAUAAUGAUGGACGGAUCUCAAAAACAUUCUAGCAAUGCCAGGAAAGCAGCAUCUCUCAAGGUAGUCACAUAUUUUCAUAUUUCCAUGUUCGGGAAUUUCCAGGUUGUUGGGAAAGAAUGGAAAAGAAUUGCCACCAGCUUUCUGAAUGCUUACCAGAAAGUCAGAGUAUAAUGAUGUUUCAAGCACCUAAAUGAGCUCACUGUGUAAAACCCACUUUCAAAAGUGACUUGCUGCAUGUCUGCAUUGCAGUCAAAGGUGUGACUGUAGCUCAUGCAGGCAUACCCAAACUACUCCACUGUCUGGUAGUCAUGCCCAGUGAAGUUUCAAGUGAAACUUUCUGAGGCUGUCUUGCAGAUCAGCUCUGCAAAACAAGGGUUAGUGGCCAGACAGCCUUUCAAGAUUAUAAGAUUCUUAGAGGAACAACCAUGAAAGAAGGGGUUUACCAGUUAAACAAGCCAAUGGUUGGGGAUAGGAGCAAAGAAAAAUAAGUAGUGUGUCUAUGAUGACAAACAUACUCUCUACUCGCUGGGAGUUGGCUUAAACCAACCUGAUCCAAAUGAGUCACCCCCUCCUUGCCUAUCACUCACAAUAUGAGUUUUCCUAGGAUCCACUCUGUAGUGUACCCGGCACUCCUGUGCUUGGCUCUGGUUACGGUUAAAAGAGACAGGAAGUGUGGGAGGGUGCAGUGCUAGAAACGAGGAACAGGAAGCUGAGAGAUUUGUGGCGGUGGAUUUCCUGUUUGGAGCUGCAACACUCAGGUCAGUUUCAAACACAUGGACAGGAGCACUACUGGAGACAAGCUUGACUUUGGACCCCGAAGAUCAGCAGAGCCUGAUACAAGAGAUCUAUCAGAAAGGUUUUCAAGGUAGGUGGUCAGCUGGAAUGGCUUUGAGAAUGGCGCCGAGCUCGACCCUUUGUAGCAGCAUAGACAUGCCCUGUGCAUUUAAGCAGUGAAAUUAAAGGAGAGUCCAAGCAAGUGAGAGAUCAGAGAAAAAUGCUUACAGGGAACAGAAGCAAGAUCCACAUUUAGCUCUGGUAUCUCAUCAGAAAUCCUUUCAUUGACCAGCCCCUUCAACACACUUUUCUUGUCCCUCUCUAUCUGGGGCAUCCCACAGAAAACACAAGAAGAGCUCACCUCUUCUUCAGAAAAAAUUAAAUACCUUGCUACAUCCACUCUAAUUUAUUCACAUCACGAAAGCUAAAUUAUUAAAUUGAAGUUGCACAAAAAGCCACUUAUGCCAAAGCUUCUGCAUUAUUUUCAUGGCGUGUUUGUCCCACACAUGUCAAGGGGGAUGAAAGCUCAUGCCUAGAUGUCAGCAUGGUUCCUGCACUUUGCAUACCUAAAUAUUUAUGCAACAACAGGCAACAGUACUUGCAUUAUUGAUAGAUCCAUAGACGUGCGAUAUUUCACAUCUGUUGUAUAACCUCAUUUGAACACACGCUUGUGAAGUAGGUUAACGCUUCAGUGGUUGAAGAUAAAGAGUUCGUGACCUAUUCAGUUCCACCAAAAGGGGAAAAUGCGUCUGACCUAUGAACUUGCACCCUCUGAGUUGGUCAGUCCUCACUGUGGGGCUUCCCCCACGGCAAGUAGGGGAAAUCAGAUCUUAGCUUAGCAUCCAGCCCCAGCUUGGUACCGCCCCUCAAGAGAAACUGCCGAGAAAUGCAAUUUCCAAAGCUGAAAGUUACAAGUUACAGGAAAGCUUAAAAGUGCUAUUCAACCCAGCCGUUUGCAGAAGAGCCCUGACAUGAUUUCCUGGAGGAAAUCUUCCUUUUCAAAGUACUUAGCAAGCAAGCAGGAGCAAGGGAAGAUCCCCCUGACACAACAAAAUCCUCUGAGGAAGGGUAAGGCUGACUGACAUGGAGGGCCCUGGAAUGAAAACUCACAGGUAAGGUAGAAUUUCCUUUUUUCAGUCUUUUCCAUGUCAGGAAGCCAUAACAGUAGAAAGCAGUAAAUGAUCCCUAGGGAAGGAGAGACCAUUUGAUUUACCCACGCGUGACUGAAAAAAGAAUGUAAGGUUUUCCUAGGCACCCUUGUUGACAUCCUCCCCCCUAGUGAUCCAGCAUCCAGGGGAAGGGUGUCAUGCAAUUAUGCAGCGGUUGUGAAACUGUGGAUGGAAGGCCACUUGGUAGAAGCUUGACAUACUUCCUCAGAAGUGGAGCAUGAACUCUUUUCACAGAGUGCCUAUUCAUGCGAGGAAACGCACCUGAGGCUUUGAAUGCCUCUGCUAUAUACACCUUUAUGUUCCUGAAAGCUCUGCUUACAGCAACUGGAUACAUGUUAUUUCUUUAGGGGGGUUGGAUUCAUCAGAAAAAGACAACAGUACACCUUCCUACUAUAUAAGAAAAAACCAACGAGACCUUAGAAACGAGGCCUGGUUAAGUGACAGAAUAACCACGUUUGCUGAAACCUUCACCAAGAUUAAUAUUUAGCAUGUUUCCAACUCCAAAACUUCUCUGGAUAAAGGAGGGGCAAGCAGCCAAUAUAUUUUCAACAAGACGGAAAGACCUACAUAACAUGAGCUGAAAGGUGAUUUUGGUUCAGGGCUUGCAGCAUACAGAUUGCAAUGCUCAGCACUACAUACUGCCAGAGGACUGAUAAGAUCAGUUGUCUUCAGGAAUCUAGUACAUGACGGCGAUGAGAGAUUUUCCUGGGUUUCUUACAGUGCAAUAUGCCUGCAAGAGCUGACCUGUCUUUCCAAUAAGUGUUAGUCCUGAGCCCCUUGAUAAGAGGAUUUUGUAAAAAUGUUCAAAUAUCCUUUUCUUCAGCUGGUUUUGCCCUGCUGUAUCCCUUGUACUACCAAGUGGUAGAGAGACAGCAGGUAAUACAUUGACAUCAUUAUGAAUUUCCUCCAGGCUAGCAAGGCUUGAUCCCUUCCUUAGAGUAGUGACUGUAAGUCUCAACAUGCCUCCUAGCUGAUGGGUUAGGCAACAGUGCAUUUCGGUUCAUGACAGGUCUGUGUUGCACCGUGUUUUGUAUGUAUGUGUGCACUGGGAGUUUGAGGAGGUUAUUUAUAAGUGAAUGUGGUCUGAAAACCAAGACCUGAGGAUCAGUAAGGAAAUUAUUAUUACUGUGGUUGUUCUUCUGCAAUUUUCUUUAUUGUCUUUGGUGUCAGUGGCAGUGGUAGAGAAGGGCUAAAGGAGGCCCUGGCAGCAAUUACCAGGCAGGGGGCAGGGAUGGAAAUCAGCUGACUCUUAUCACACACCUUCAUGUUCCUUGCAACUCUGUAUGCGAUGGCCCCACUCUGUUGUCAUGAAGCUAAAGGUAGAAAAACAGCUGGUAUGGAUGAAAGUCCUGCCAAUGCUGUUGGUCCAGGUGUCAGGUGAUAAGUUACAAGCACAAAGACCAUACAACAAUUCAAGAGGAAGUUAAGAACUCAUAAUUUGGGGGGUGUUUAUGCUGUCCUGUAAAAAAAGAUAGCAGCUCCCAGAAUCUAUAGCUAUGACCACAGCUAUCAAAAUAAGUUUAGUUGUUUUUCUCUUCUGGUAAAACAAGUAAGCUUUGUUAGACCCCAACUCCAUGGGGUACCCAACAACUAGGGAGACGACGAUCCAAUCGCCCAUGAAUCCUGUUACUCAUUAGCCAGAGCAAGCAGGGAGCAAACGCUACUUGCACACAUUGCUUGCAACAGCUUUGUUCAGAACGGAGACAGCUUCGGACAAAGGUCCCAAAAAAACAGCAAACUGGGGACCUGCACUGAACAAUAGUUUUUUUCCCCAAAUUUAUACACUUUGGUUUAGGUUCAUUAACAUUCACUCCACCUCCAUCCCUGUUUCACCACUUCUAUCUCAAGCUCCUUCUCUGUUUACUGUUUGCUUCAUUAACACGGAAUUGCCUAUGCAUUUUAUUCAUUUAUAUGUCUUUUUGCUAUGGGCACGUCUAAGACCUUGACUCCUUUUCUUCAGUCAAUGGGCAGACUUUGACCAAAACCUGGAAGCUUCUUCACCAAUCACCAUUCACCUUUUUGCAUAUGUUCAUUUUGGAUCUUGUUACCCAUUACGUGUUGUUUUUUCACAUUCCAAUCUGUUUUUGUCUCAGGUUGUACCGUCUCCACCUUUUUGGGCCCCUGUACCUUAUCUCGUUCCUAACUGUAGCUAGUUCACAGCACACAGACUUAUUUGCUGCUUUUUCCAGAAAAAUGGUUAACGCAAUUAAGAUGGUUACUUAACAAGAGCACUGAUAAGCAAAAUCUUAUAUAAAAGCUAUACAUCUCACAACAAUACUAUUAUAUGGUUAAAAACUACUU